UACGUAGGGGGCAAGCGUUGUCCGGAUUUAUUGGGCGUAAAGAGCUCGUAGGUGGUUCGGUAAGUCGGAUGUGAAAUCUCCGGGCUUAACCCGGAGCGGCCAAGUGAUACUGUUGUGCUAGAGUGCGGAAGGGGCUACUGGAAUUCUCGGUGUAGCGGUGAAAUGCGUAGAUAUCGAGAGGAACACCUGCGGCGAAGGCGGGUAGCUGGGCCGACACUGACGCUGAGGCGCGAAAGCCAGGGGAGCGAACGGG
rnacentral:rRNA from 1 species